UUUUGUAUUAAUAAUAUUAUAUUAAUGAGCUACUGGGUGAGGAGAGAAAAAUAAAGACAAACUCCAUUAUCCUCUGUGCGUGGAAAUGAAGAGAGCAGGUGGCCUUGGGAAUAGAUAGAUUUUGUUAUCAGGGGAAAGGCUGUUGGUCACAUGAAUGGAGGGCUACGUCAUGUCUGUUGGCCGGAGGGUGACAGGGGCUCUUGUGCCCUGAUGAAUGCCUCCGCAGUUGGCCCUUGUCUGCAGGGAGGAAGCCCAGCACGUCCCAAGAGGGUCAAUGCUAGGGAGCUUCUCAAAGGAUCAGGACCAUCCUAAGUGAGGUCCCCCAGCAGGAAGGACACCAAAGGCUCCAGAGGCACUCUUGCGCUCGUGGUGGGGUUGGAGCUGGACAGGCGGGGGCUCCUGCAGGCCCAGCCUCCUCCGACUCAGCUCUGGAGACAACGGCUGGCCGUGCGUGAGCAAGGUAAGUCUGCCUUUAACCCUGGGGGCCUCGCCUCCCCUCAGCAGUACACAAGUGUCUGCGUGACUGGGACAGUGCUAGACAGUGACCAGGGGCUGUGACAAGGCACAACUGAGCUCGCUAGCCUUUCUCAUCCUCUCUGGGGUGUUUGGAAUGAUAAUCUGUUCCCUUUAGACUGAGUAAGAGCUUGGGUUUCUUGGAGGACUAGAGGGGGAGGCUUCACGUGUGAGCGAUUGGACAUAUGGGGUUCCAGCAAUUAAUAGGAAAUAGGAAAAAUAAAAGAGAUGUGGCUGUAUUUACACAUGCAGGUGGUAAAGAGGAACAAGCCAGAGGGGGACAGAUGAUGGGAAAAGAGGAAUCAGGAUAUUGUGAAGUUGACCACUACUACCCCUCCCUAUCCAAAGGACCAAACAAAGUCUAUCACGUGGGCUCCAUGGCCCCACGCCUUCCAGGUUCAUUUCACACUAUUCUCUUCUACUCCAGUGGCCCUGGUCUUCUCUCUAGUGCACACACCGCCUGCCUCAGGGCCUUUGCGUAUGCUGUUCUCUCAGACUUCAGCUUUUUUCCCACAGUUCUUCCCCUGGACCUGACUUCUUUCCUGUGAGAUAGACAAGGAAGGUAUUAGUGACUCCUUUUAAAAGAAAAAAAAAAAUCAGAAAACAAGGACAAUCUAGAUGAGGAGAGGCCAUGACUUGGAGUAGGGGUCAUUGAUGAGAAGAAAGUAUCAGAACCAGAGAUUCUCUCUGGCUGCCCCUCCCCAUCCUCUUCCACGAUUCCUCUCCAACUUCCCUGCCCUCUUUUCUGUGUUUCCUCUUUCCGUGUCCCUUUCUCCUUUCCUCUAUCCGUCUCUGUUCUUGUCCCCUUCCUCCUGAGCCUCCCUCACCCCAGGGCCCCUGACUGCAGAGGGUGCCAUGGUGAGAUCUUCUUGCUAGAGCUUACCCUUCUACCAACUGCUCUCUUAGAACGUGGCCUCUUCCUAGAAAUUACCCUGUUUGUUCCUCUUGCACCUGUGGGCGUAUUGCUUCUAUUCACGGUGAAGUCCAGACCCCAUCUUCCCCAGGAAGGACCCCCUCAGACACAAAGGGCCGGGUUUGGACGCUGCCUCACCAUUUCAGCCAGUGGCAGCGUGUAUGCAUCCAUAGCACUGUCUUUAAAAAAUGGGUUUUUACACCAUUAAGCCCUGCCUGGUGGUAGUUGAAACCCAUGGCAAUGCCUCUGACCGCUUCGGUGGUUUGUACAAAGGUUUCGGGGACUAGGAACCCAGUCAGGUGAAGUCACAUCAAUUCAGAGAAGAAUCUCAGGAAAGUAGGGAAAAAUGAACCCCAGAAUGUCGGAAGGGCAGGAAUGACAUAGCUCCAGACACUGCCCCUCUGUUCUUCCUCCUUCCUGUUCCUCCCCGUCUCCCUUCGUAAUUUUGCUCUGCACGGUGCGUGUAACGGCUGCUCUCUUACCCAAUCUUCGGGUCCCAAAGGCUUCCAUUCCCAGUGUCCACUACCUACUGGCCAGAUAUGUGUGUUUGUGUGUGUAUGUAAUAUAUAAACUUUGUGUAGGUAUAUGUACAGUACAUGAGCUACCCGGUUUCUACAUAUGACAGUUCCAAAUUCUGAGAGAUGGACUCUGGUCAGCCCAACAUAACAUAAUCAGAGUAUCGUUCAUAGGCUGUGUGGGUCACCCCAACCAGCUGUGGCCAAGGAGGGUCACUAACCUAAAACAAGGCCACCUGGGACAGUCAGACCUGUGGCAGGAAUGUGUCCAGCAGAGGACGGAGGAGGGUGGACCAUGUGUGCACCCUAAACUACGUGUAGCCCCAAACUGCUUAGGUCCGAUGACAAGCGCAAACAGGAUGAGGUCACUGUAGGACUUUUUUCUCUUCCUAAUUCUGCUAUUGUUUACUCAAGAAGAGAUGUAUUUUUCUAGUUGGAAGCCAUAAGAAGAAGCAGCAACAGUUUAAGGUUCUGCUCUGGAGAAGAUGGGGGGAAAGUGGGGCUAUUUAGAUAGGCAUUCCUCGUGAGUCUUCCUUUUUAAAACAGGCAUUUUUAUUAAGCUGGAACUGGCUAUGAUUCAGAGAGUAAAGGAAGGAUAGAGCAACAAUUCCUGAUGUAUGAAGCAGCCGUAGAAGAGAAGGAAGUCCUGCCAUUUGCAACAAGGAUGGACCUUGAGGACAUCACGCUAAGUCAAAUAAGUCAGACAGACAAAGACAAAUACUGUACAAUCUCACUUAGAUGCAGAAUCUAAAAAACCAAACUCACAGAGACAGGGACUAUAAUGGUGUUUUCCAGGGGCAUGGGGGUGGGGGAAACGGGGAGAUGUUGGUCAAAGGGUACAAACACCCAGUUAUAAGAUGUGUAGGUUCUGGGGGGUUUAAUAUACAGCUUGGUGACUAUAGUUAGCAAUACUGUAUUAAAUAUUUGCAAGUUGCUAAGGGAGUUGAUCUUGCAUGUUUUUACCACACACACACAUACACACACACACACACACACACACACACGCAAAAUAGUAAUUUAUGAGGUGAUGGAAGUGCUAACCUUAUUGUGGUAAUAAUUUCACAGUAUAUACAUGUAUCAAAUCAGCCAUUGUGUGCCUUAAACUUACACGAUGUUGUAUAGCAAUUAUAUCCCAACAAAUCUGGGAGGAAAAUAAUUCCUGACCAUAAACGAUACAGACCUUAAGCCCUGCAAGAGUUUAAAUGUCAGGCCUGUCAGCACAGCCGGGGCCCUGAGCUCUGACUAGGAUCCUUUCCCGGUGCCGAGCUGUCAUUUAAGGCUGAGUCUCUGUUCUUGACCUUAAAUUCCCAUUGUAAAUAAAUCCACUUGUGGCUGCCAGCAGGGAAGGGGCAACAGCCGCGAUCACUGACAAUUCUGUUGCGGGAAGAAGAAGAGAAUGUGAGUAAAGAGCAAGUCUCCCCUCACAUCCGUUAGCACUUGGGCAAAAGACCACCAUUUGCCUGAAGCAACGUGCUGAGUAAUGUACACACAGGUUAUGUCACUACAGCAAACCUAUGAGGGGACUAUUGUUAACUUUACAGAACAGGAAAUAGGGUCAGAGAGGUUAAUGAACUUCCACAAGCUCGCAAAGCUAGUAUGUGGAUUUUGCACCCACGCUCCAGAGCUUGUGUUCCUGCCCGCUAUUGUAAUGAUUUUGCAGAUAGCGGGGCAUGUUCAUAUCCGGUAUGUUUUCCUUCCUCUAAACUGUUCCGUUUUUAGCUGUAGCGAAAUGAUGUACAUAGGGUUGAACUGCUGUGAACGAAAGAAGUCAGUAAUGAAAACAAUUUUAAAAGACUGCAAAGCUUUUCAUUAUAAUCUUAGUUCCUCAAAUUCAAUAGCGAGCCCUCACACUCUGCAUUAGAUACUUUAUAUCCUAAACCUACAGUCUGUGGGCCCACGUCCCAAAAAAGAUCCCAUUCUGUGAGUAGGAUGAUACUGCUUAUCCUCUUUUAGCACGUAGAGCAGAUGUAGAUUCGUGUACGGUGUUAGAAGGAUGAGCAACCCCCCGUGGUGGCUGAUGGGCAUUUGCCCGUGACGGCACCCCACCACGUGUGUGCUGUGGACCCUCUAGAUCUGUGUCGAUGACUGCAUAUUUGUUACAGCAUUUGUUAUAAAUAAGGAAACAGCCACCAUGACAUGGCUAAGACAGCUUUAAAGCCAAGCAAACAAAUAUAAAGCCAGCAGUUACUUGACACGCCCACAUCCCAGCAUCCAUGGAUGGUGUGGUCGAUGAGUAGACAACGUCCAUGGGACAGAGAACCUUUUCCAAAAGGGACAGAUGGUGACCACUGUUCUCCAAGAGCACUGCAGUUCAGCCACGGGCCCUGUCAGCUGAGUGCAUUGCCUCCUGCUCGGACAGAAGAGAGCAGGUAUAAUGCAGCACCUGCUAGACCUCGGACCGGGCAAAGGACCCACCCACCCUGCCCACAGGGCAUCAAGGCUGUUGACAAAGGCUUAUUCAACAUCAGUAUGAUACCUAGGAAGUCACAAAAGGCCCGGUUCUUCAAUCAGUUUUAUUGAGACUAUAUUAUUUACAUGCAGUAAAAUUUACCUUUCAAAAAGAUCUACAGUUCUAUAAAUUCCAACAAAUGCAUGUGGUCAUAUAACCACGCCACAAUCAAGACAUAGAAUGCUUCUGUUAUUCGCAAAGUUCCCUCCUGAUCCUUUGUUGUCAGUCAUUUCCUCCCCACACCAGCCCCUGGCAACCACUCAUCAAUUCUCUGUCCCUGCAGCUUUGCCUUUUCCGCAAUAAAUGGAAUCAUAUGGUGUGUAGCCAUUUGAGGCUGGCCUCUUUCUCUGGGUACAAUGCUGGUUUCUGCAUGUAUAAGGAGUUUGUUCCUUUUUACGACUGAGCAGUAUUACUAUGUAGUAGUUAAUUUGUUCGCCGGUUGAGCCACAUUUGGGUUAUUUCCAGUUUGGGGUAAUUAUGAAUAACAUUGCUAUAAACCUUCACAUACAGGUUUUCAUGUGGACGUGGUUUGCAGGCUGGACGGUCUGGUAAGCACAUGUUUCCACUCCAGCCGUGCAUGAGAGACCCCCUUGCUCCGAUCCUCACUAGCAUAUGGUCUUGCCCACGAAUUGACUCUAAAAACAGUUAAAAAUAGUUGCUAAUGACGGGCAGAGUUUGUUUUGUUACCUAAACGCAACAAUUCUAUACACUUUAGAUCAAUCCGAAGAAGUUAAUGAUGAAAUAAAGUGUUGUUCUGGGUAACUGCACCCUUAAAUUACGGCUUUUUCCCAGUCACUAUUUAAUUAAAACUCUUACAAACAUCCUAGAUACCCAGGUAGCAGGUAGAAUAGCAAUUGAUCUCAUGCUCCACGGAUAUUUUUAAACAUUCAAAUGAGGUUGUAUUUUCAUUAAAAGGAAGCUUUCAACUUCCUUAACGUUGUUUUGAAAAGAUUGCGAAGAUUCCUGUGCUCUGGGGAAAACCAAAACCAGAAUUAGAACAAUGGCAACCUUGGACUGUUCUCAUUUCUCUUGCAGGAAAUGGCUUUUUUUUUUUUUUUUAAGUUAGCUGUCUAUAUGCUACAUAUGGAUUAUCUACUUCCAGAAUUAUACACAAGCAGUUUAGAACAUUGAGUUGCUCCAAAUUUGCCUUGAAUUCACCUCCCUUCCCAAGACAACCGAUUUUUUUCCAGUUAACCCAGGCAUACGUACUCCAAAUGAAUGUUAAAUAAUGAGCAUCAGUCCAAAUGGAAUAUAAUUGGAGUAUUAACUAUGUGAUCAAAAUAAUUAUAUAAACCAGCGUCAGGACAAAUCCAACUUGAAGUCGUCACCAUCUUUGGGGCAUUGAUUCUGCAGCUGUCCUUCAGUAGCCUGGGAAAUUGAGCAUAAAACGGAGGAGCUAUGUCGGCCACAGAGUGACGGGGAAAGACACGGAGGAGAACCACCACGGAAGAGGCAAGCGGUGUUGGAAACCGGAUGACUCCCAGAACCUCCACAGUGUCCCCUGCACGAAGUGUGUCGGAAAUAGCAUCUUUGCAAGAUAGAAUCAAUAUGGGAGUUGACUCCGAAGGAGGCUGAGCCCCUAAUCCAAUUGACUGGUGUCUUUAUAAGAAGAGAGAAGAAACACACACAGAGUAGCAGGACAGAAACUCCCAGAAUGCUAUGCCUGCUCCGGCACCGGCCUCCCGUAUUUCAAACCUAGAGUGGAUUCUUUUUAACAACUCCCGUACCAUUCACACAGACCAGUUCUAGCAGCUCUCAAGUGUCUUCACCGUGGACAAACUUUCACCAAACGCCCAUCGCCGGCAAAUGUAUCACAAAUUUCUAUUGUAUUUGGGUCUCAAGUUUUACACGUGCAAAAACCAGAGAAAGUAUCCAAAAGACGGCAAAUAGGGACUUGUCUGAGCCGUUGUGUUCUUGUCCAGUUCCUAGAGAAAGUGAUUCGGGCUUCAAACACUGCCCUUUGAAUUUCAUCAGGCAAUCUAAGACUGGCACCUUUGGUCAUUUCCCCCAACGUUUCUUCCCUAAAUUUGAUUCUUUUAUCUAUUUCCUCACUUUGUUGUUGUUGUUGCUUUGCAGAAGUAAUUGUCCUCUCCACAGUUUGUUUGCACUGACUUCAAGGAAUCAUUUUAAAGUGUUGUGUGCCUUGUUCAAGGUGGAUUCUGCCAGUUUGCAAAUAUUUUUGUAUCAACUUCUUGUCUGGGUCUUCAAGGCUCCCAUUGUUUCCUUCUCAAAAGCUAUUUGGCAACAAAGGCGUGGCAAGUGAACUUCCAAGUGGAAUACAGCAUUUUUUAAAAGGAUAAAGAAUAAGAAUGUGCUAAUUUAGGCUUAAGGACAUAGUGCUAAACUCAACAGUAAGCACAGUUGUCUAGAACUUGGACCAACGAAAGAGUAUUCAGGGCAGAAUGUUGGAUCGGUAACGUUACUUAAGAUUUGCCAGUGCAAGGUUAUAGUGAAAGACAGACCAACUUUCAGAUGGCUUUGCUAACGGUUUUAAAUUCUCUGCAGACAAUGACCCCUUCGUCUUAUUCCUGCACCAGGCAGAGCCCUCCCACUGCCCACCUUUUAACCCACAACCUUUAUGUAGAAGAGUCACUGCCUCCACACUGGGGUUCGGAUCUCAGGCACAUCCCCUUCUGCUGUCACAACCCCACAAUUUCUUGCUGUCACGCUGGUCUCUUUAUGGAGGAUUAAACAGAUGUAUUUAUUUUUUUAAAUAAAGUUUAUUUAUUUUGAGA